CAGCUCAUAACACCCAUGGCCCAUACCUAUAUGCUUCGAAAACAGAGUUCUUCUACGAGUUCUCUCUACCUGUGCUUUGAUGCUGAGAUGAGGCAAAGGAUCAUCGGUGCAAAUGUGAACAAGUGCGAGCGGCGCAUCGAGGACACCAAGUAACAACCUCAAAUCGGACCGCUUGAAGGCUGAGCCAAGCCGCAGCCUCACACAAGUUCUCUACAUGUGCUUUUAGGGCUCACUUGCUCGUUCUAGAUCUUGCAAGCUUUUCGCCGUCUCGUUCUAGAUCUGCCUAAACAGGGUGUAUCAGAUGUGGAAUUGUAGAGUAAUUUGGAUUAUGCUUGUGGACAAGGGAUUGAUUGUAGUCCAAUCCAACCAGUUCCCCAGGUGAGAGCACAUGAGCUGGCAGGUUCUCUUCAUCGGUGAGGGAAUUAAGGUGGUGGAGUUCCUUUUGCUUCUAGCUUUGACAAUAAAUUCGCAGUUUGCCUAACUUCUUCAAUAAGAGCCAAUGGUGUUGUGUUUUUUGGUGAUGGUCUUCCAAACAUUGAUGUCUCUAAGAAUCUGAUUUACACACCAUUUAUUCUCAACCCUGUUGGUGCAGCCUUUGCUUAUUUUGAAGGCGAACGGUCCGCGGAUUACGAGUCGAAUCAAUCAAGAUUAAUGGAAAAGUUUUGAGAUUGCCCUCUACCCCUGUUUUUACUCUGUUUUUUUGCCUUGGGGUGUAUUGUGAAAAUGUUUCAGAUUUAGGGUACUUUUGGUGUAUUUAUAAAAAUGUUAAAUUCUAAGGGGUUCGUUUAA